rnacentral:rRNA from 1 species
GAUGAACGCUGGCGGCGUGCCUAAUACAUGCAAGUCGAGCGAACGGACGAGAAGCUUGCUUCUCUGAUGCUAGCGGCGGACGGGUGAGUAACACGUGGAUAACCUACCUAUAAGACUGGGAUAACUUCGGGAAACCGGAGCUAAUACCGGAUAAUAUUUUGAACCGCAUGGUUCAAAAGUGAAAGACGGUCUUGCUGUCACUUAUAGAUGGAUCCGCGCUGCAUUAGCUAGUUGGUAAGGUAACGGCUUACCAAGGCAACGAUGCAUAGCCGACCUGAGAGGGUGAUCGGCCACACUGGAACUGAGACACGGUCCAGACUCCUACGGGAGGCAGCAGUAGGGAAUCUUCCGCAAUGGGCGAAAGCCUGACGGAGCAACGCCGCGUGAGUGAUGAAGGUCUUCGGAUCGUAAAACUCUGUUAUUAGGGAAGAACAUAUGUGUAAGUAACUGUGCACAUCUUGACGGUACCAAAUCAGAAAGCCACGGCUAACUACGUGCCAGCAGCCGCGGUAAUACGUAGGUGGCAAGCGUUAUCCGGAAUUAUUGGGCGUAAGCGCGCGUAGGCGGUUUUUUAAGUCUGAUGUGAAAGCCCACGGCUCAACCGUGGAGGGCCAUUGGAAACUGGAAAACUUGAGUGCAGAAGAGGAAAGUGGAAUUCCAUGUGUAGCGGUGAAAUGCGCAGAGAUAUGGAGGAACACCAGUGGCGAAGGCGACUUUCUGGUCUGUAACUGACGCUGAUGUGCGAAAGCGUGGGGAUCAAACAGGAUUAGAUACCCUGGUAGUCCACGCCGUAAACGAUGAGUGCUAAGUGUUAGGGGGUUUCCGCCCCUUAGUGCUGCAGCUAACGCAUUAAGCACUCCGCCUGGGGAGUACGACCGCAAGGUUGAAACUCAAAGGAAUUGACGGGGACCCGCACAAGCGGUGGAGCAUGUGGUUUAAUUCGAAGCAACGCGAAGAACCUUACCAAAUCUUGACAUCCUUUGACAACUCUAGAGAUAGAGCCUUCCCCUUCGGGGGACAAAGUGACAGGUGGUGCAUGGUUGUCGUCAGCUCGUGUCGUGAGAUGUUGGGUUAAGUCCCGCAACGAGCGCAACCCUUAAGCUUAGUUGCCAUCAUUAAGUUGGGCACUCUAAGUUGACUGCCGGUGACAAACCGGAGGAAGGUGGGGAUGACGUCAAAUCAUCAUGCCCCUUAUGAUUUGGGCUACACACGUGCUACAAUGGACAAUACAAAGGGCAGCGAAACCGCGAGGUCAAGCAAAUCCCAUAAAGUUGUUCUCAGUUCGGAUUGUAGUCUGCAACUCGACUACAUGAAGCUGGAAUCGCUAGUAAUCGUAGAUCAGCAUGCUACGGUGAAUACGUUCCCGGGUCU